GUCGAGCGAUGAAAGUUCCUUCGGGGAAAAACGGAUUAGCGGCGGACGGGGGUGAGUAAACACGUGGGGUAAACCCCUGCCCUCAUAGAGGGGGAAAAUAGCCUUUCGAAAGGAAGAUUAAUACCGCAUAAGAUUGUAAUACCGCAUGGUACAGCAAUUAAAGGAGUAAUCCGCUAUGAGAUGGACCCGCGUCGCAUUAGCUAGUUGGUGAGGUAACGGCUCACCAAGGCGACGAUGCGUAGCCGACCUGAGAGGGUGAUCGGCCACAUUGGGACUGAGACACGGCCCAGACUCCUACGGGAGGCAGCAGUGGGGAAUAUUGCACAAUGGGGGAAACCCUGAUGCAGCAACGCCGCGUGAGUGAUGACGGUCUUCGGAUUGUAAAGCUCUGUCUUUAGGGACGAUAAUGACGGUACCUAAGGAGGAAGCCACGGCUAACUACGUGC
rnacentral:rRNA from 1 species